AUUGAACGCUGGCGGCAGGCCUAACACAUGCAAGUCGAGCGGAUGAAGGGAGCUUGCUCCUGGAUUCAGCGGCGGACGGGUGAGUAAUGCCUAUGAAUCUGCCUGGUAGUGGGGGAUAACGUCCGGAAACGGGCGCUAAUACCGCAUACGUCCUGAGGGAGAAAGUGGGGGAUCUUCGGACCUCACGCUAUCAGAUGAGCCUAGGUCGGAUUAGCUAGUUGGUGGGGUAAAGGCCUACCAAGGCGACGAUCCGUAACUGGUCUGAGAGGAUGAUCAGUCACACUGGAACUGAGACACGGACCAGACUCCUACGGGAGGCAGCAGUGGGGAAUAUUGGACAAUGGGCGAAAGCCUGAUCCAGCCAUGCCGCGUGUGUGAAGAAGGUCUUCGGAUUGUAAAGCACUUUAAGUUGGGAGGAAGGGCAGUAAGUUAAUACCUUGCUGUUUUGACGUUACCAACAGAAUAAGCACCGGCUAACUUCGUG
rnacentral:rRNA from 1 species